ACAUUGGAUUAUGUAGCCCUAGAUACACAGUGUUUUAAAAUAAGAGGUGGUGGUUAUAGCUAAGACGUCUUAUUGAACCUAUGGGUCUGCUUGUUCAGGAUUGAAGGGAGUUUAAAGUACAUCAACAUCAGGAGCAGAAUUCCAGCUUUUGAAAAUUCAGAAAGACGAAAGAAAUUUCUAAAGUAUCAGUAUGGCAACACCAUAUCGAUUACCCCCCAAUUACAUGAGACAGCAAGGCAAUUCUGGCAGACACUUUGUUGGACGACAUGAUGAGAGGGAAAAACUGAAGAUCUUGAUCAAGGAUGAAGAUACUCAAAUAAUACAAGUUUAUGGACUGCCUUAUGUUGGCAAAACAAGUCUUGUGAAAACUGUCUGUCAAGAAUUGAAGGAUGAAACCAACCCCGAAAGACUCCACAUAAAACACAUCCAUAUUUCUAAUAAUAGCAGUUGGUCUGAUAUUUCCAACAUGUACAAUACAUUCA